GGAGGAGGAGGAGAGAGGGAGGGAGGAGGACAUAAAAGAGCAGAGGAGAGAGAGAGAGUAGAGAGGAGCAGGGAGAGGAGCAAAAGAGGACAGAGUGAGAGUGAAAGAGACCCCAUUGUAAGCUACAUUUUGAGAAAUAAGGUGCGACCUUGUUUUCUGGUCAGCAGUUGGAAAUUGGACGGUGAAUGGGGAGAAGAAAUAGAAUACUUCCCAAGGACUUGGCCCCACUCUCCUAUG